ACAUGCCUGGCUCCUUGUAUGCCACUUGCAUUGUUCCACCUUAAUUGAUGGCCUUUUCAUAUGGCAUGCUAGGAGCCAUGCAUGC
rfam:Nicotiana attenuata strain TT scaffold06053, whole genome shotgun sequence.